UAUAAGCAAUCUAUACUGUGAAACUGCGAAUGGCUCAUUAAAUCAGUUAUCGUUUAUUUGAUAGUACCUUACUACAUGGAUACCUGUGGUAAUUCUAGAGCUAAUACAUGCUAAAAACCCCGACUUCGGGAGGGGUGUAUUUAUUAGAUAAAAAACCAAUGCCCCUCGGGGCUCCUUGGUGAUUCAUAAUAACUUAACGAAUCGCAUGGCCUUGCGCCGGCGAUGGUUCAUUCAAAUUUCUGCCCUAUCAACUUUCGAUGGUAGGAUAGUGGCCUACCAUGGUGGCAACGGGUAACGGGGAAUUAGGGUUCGAUUCCGGAGAGGGAGCCUGAGAAACGGCUACCACAUCCAAGGAAGGCAGCAGGCGCGCAAAUUACCCAAUCCCGACACGGGGAGGUAGUGACAAUAAAUACUGAUACGGGGCUCUUUUGGGUCUCGUAAUUGGAAUGAGAACAAUUUAAAUCCCUUAACGAGGAACAAUUGGAGGGCAAGUCUGGGC
rnacentral:rRNA from 1 species